UACGAAGGGGGCUAGCGUUGCUCGGAAUUACUGGGCGUAAAGCGCACGUAGGCGGCUUUCUAAGUCGGGGGUGAAAUCCUGGAGCUCAACUCCAGAACUGCCUUCGAUACUGGAAAGCUCGAGUCCGGGAGAGGUGAGUGGAACUGCGAGUGUAGAGGUGAAAUUCGUAGAUAUUCGCAAGAACACCAGUGGCGGAGGCGGCUCACUGGCCCGGUACUGACGCUGAGGUGCGAAAGCGUGGGGAGCAAACAGG
rnacentral:rRNA from 1 species